rnacentral:rRNA from 1 species
GGCUCAGAACGAACGCUGGCGGCGUGCUUAACACAUGCAAGUCUGACGGGAAUGUCGGCUUCGGCUGACUAGUACCGUGGCGAACGGGUGAGUAACACGUGGGUAAUCUACCCUUGAGCUCGGGAUAACCUUGCGAAAGCGAGGCUAAUACCGGAUAAGACCACGUCCUGUACGCAGGAUGCGGUAAAUGGUGGCCUCUUCUUGAAAGCUAUCACUUGAGGAUGAGCCCGCGGCCUAUUAGCUAGUUGGUGGGGUAAUGGCCCACCAAGGCGACGAUGGGUAGCCGGCCUGAGAGGGUGUACGGCCACACUGGCACUGAGACACGGGCCAGACUCCUACGGGAGGCAGCAGUGGGGAAUUUUGCGCAAUGGGGGAAACCCUGACGCAGCAACGCCGCGUGAGUGAUGAAGGCCUUCGGGUUGUAAAGCUCUUUUAGUGGGGAAGAAGCCCUCCAGGGCUAAUACCUCUGGGGUCUGACGGUACCCACAGAAAAAGUUCCGGCUAACUACGUGCCAGCAGCCGCGGUAAUACGUAAGGAGCAAGCGUUGUUCGGAAUUAUUGGGCGUAAAGAGCGCGUAGGCGGUUCGGUAAGUCUGACGUGAAAUCCCGGAGCUUAACUCCGGAACUGCGUUGGAUACUGCCGGGCUUGAGUGUGGGAGAGGAGAGUGGAAUUCCCAGUGUAGAGGUGAAAUUCGUAGAUAUUGGGAGGAACACCCGUGGCGAAGGCGGCUCUCUGGACCACAACUGACGCUGAGGCGCGAAAGCUAGGGUAGCAAACGGGAUUAGAUACCCCGGUAGUCCUAGCCGUAAACGAUGGGCACUAGGUGUUGGAGGUAUCGACCCCUCCAGUGCCGCAGCUAACGCAUUAAGUGCCCCGCCUGGGGAGUACGGUCGCAAGACUAAAAC